GACGAACCGAGCGAACGUUGUUCGGAAUCACUGGGCUUAAAGGGUGCGUAGGCGGGCUGCCAAGUUUGAGGUGAAAUCCUCCGGCUCAACCGGGGAAGUGCCUUGAAUACUGGCGGUCUGGAGGGAGGUAGGGGCGUGCGGAACUAACGGUGGAGCGGUGAAAUGCGUUGAUAUCGUUAGGAACUCCGGUGGCGAAGGCGGCACGCUGGACCUCUUCUGACGCCGAGGCACGAAAGCCAGGGGAGCGAACGGG
rnacentral:rRNA from 1 species